CUCUGACCAAGAUUAAUGUCUGAAUCUGCAAAGCUUUCGUAUGAGGAGCAAAUGCCCAGAUACAGGAUCAGCUCUGAAACCACAGACCCUAUUCAGGGGACAGUCCCUCCUCUUCAUUUCCAGGUGGUGAUGUUCUGCUACUUACUAUACAGGCAUGUAACCAUCUUUAGCUGAUUUCCAGCAGAGAGCCACAGAGCCUUCCCUCUGUGAGUCUGGAUUGGUGCAGACUUUGCAUGUGCACCCGUGAGUGUAUGAUGACCAUGCUGUCCUCCUCUUUCCACUUCGGACAACGCUCAGAACAGGCCACCCGCAUUAACUUGCCCCUUCAGACUGGUCCUAUGACUUUGAUUCUGUUGUGAGAAAUCAUAAAACUACGAGGAGACAGACCACGAGAGAUGCUAAAACUAUUCAAACGGGAAUGCCACUCUGGGUGCAGUCAAAGUGUUCAGAAGGGAUAUAGAUCAUGACAGGACAUUUAUUUAUUUUCUUCUAAAAAUCAAGCAGAGUGACCUUUGUCUGCAUUUAAGGAUUUUGAGGACGUGGGAAUUCACCUUCUCCAUAGACUCCAGAGAAUAAGUGGUGACUGCUUCCAGAGCCUACUGGGGACAUGAUGCAGAAUGAUGCUGCUGAUGUAAUACCCUCAG